rnacentral:rRNA from 1 species
GGGAAAUCCUNGAUUUUGCCCCC